UUUUGCCUACAAAGAUGGCAGUGUAGAUGUUUUUAUUAUGGUCGUUACAUCAUCUGGUUGCAAAAGAAAAGUAAAUGUGACGCCUGCUGUAGAGACUAUUUCUAGUAAUCGAAGUAAAAUAUUAAUUAUUGGUGCAGGAAUGGCUGGCCUAUCUGCUGCUGGUCAUCUAGUUAAAAAUGGCGUUACAGAUUUCAAAAUAUUAGAAGCAAGAAAUAGCAUCGGGGGAAGAAUAGUGUCAACAAAUACAAAUAACCAUAAAAUCGAGCUGGGCGCAAAUUGGAUACACGGUGUUCUAGGAAACCCUAUGUAUUUGAUUGCGAUGGUAAACGGUUUAAUUGAUAUUGUACGUGUUCCCUCGCCACAUAUUCAUAUUCAUAUUCAUUCAUAUUCAUAUUUAUUUCAAGUUCAGUUGAUCCAUACAUGAGUUGAAAGUACAAACUGUUGGAUAUAGAACGUGUCACAAAGUAAAUACUAGUCUAAGUUCCCAAUCAUUGGAACAGAGUCAAAAUACCCGAUAAGAACGAUAUAUGAUACAGUACACACAUUAUUAAAAUUUCAUUUAAAUACAAUAAGAUAAAACCAUAAAUUAAAAGUACCAGUAACAUAUGUAUUCAACAAUGACUUUAACAUGAAGUAUAAAAAAAA